rnacentral:misc_RNA from 1 species
AUAUAUAUAUAUAUACACAUACACGUGUAGAGCGAGAGAAGAGCACUAACUCGCAUCGCAUGUUUACCGGCAACCAAAAAGAAUAUAUCAUUAACUAAAAAAGAACGAACCCUUCUUGAAUGGUGAUAAGCUUACGGAAGGAUCGCACAGCCAUCUUUGCCCGGCGUGAAGAUAAUCGCUGCAAUUUUCUGACCGAUGCAGAUCUCAUGGAAAUCCCAAGUCCUACGGUAGUGGACUUGUAAUAAUUAUUGGUUUCUUGUUCUAGUGGAAGAAGCAUGGGUGAAAUUCGGUUCUUACUCGUGAUCUUCCUAGACUUUCGGCUUUUGUUUUUGUUGAGUUCUUCCAGAGCAGUGCUUGCCUUUAGGGCAAGAGCUGCCAUGUCAGAGGCAGUGAGUGGAUAUUUAAGCUUGGAGGCCGGAAGCAUGAAAUAGAUCUGAUUGGGAAGAAGCUGGUAUUGGGAAUCAAGUGAAGGUAUGAAAUGGUCAAAGUAAAGACGGUCGGAACUGCAUAGGAAGGUGGAAGAGAUGUCAGAUUGAAGAACUUGAGAGACGUUGAUGGGAACGCUAUAUUGACGGAGCUCUCCACCAAUUGAGAUGACGUAGCUGGUCAGCUGCUUUUGAUCGACGAUAUUCGAGGAGGAAGACAAGCAAG